rnacentral:rRNA from 1 species
AAAUUGAAGAGUUUGAUCAUGGCUCAGAUUGAACGCUGGCGGCAGGCCUAACACAUGCAAGUCGAGCGGAAACGACACUAACAAUCCUUCGGGUGCGUUAAUGGGCGUCGAGCGGCGGACGGGUGAGUAAUGCCUAGGAAAUUGCCUUGAUGUGGGGGAUAACCAUUGGAAACGAUGGCUAAUACCGCAUAAUGCCUACGGGCCAAAGAGGGGGACCUUCGGGCCUCUCGCGUCAAGAUAUGCCUAGGUGGGAUUAGCUAGUUGGUGAGGUAAUGGCUCACCAAGGCGACGAUCCCUAGCUGGUCUGAGAGGAUGAUCAGCCACACUGGAACUGAGACACGGUCCAGACUCCUACGGGAGGCAGCAGUGGGGAAUAUUGCACAAUGGGCGAAAGCCUGAUGCAGCCAUGCCGCGUGUAUGAAGAAGGCCUUCGGGUUGUAAAGUACUUUCAGUUGUGAGGAAGGGUGUGUAGUUAAUAGCUGCRCAUCUUGACGUUAGCAACAGAAGAAGCACCGGCUAACUCCGUGCCAGCAGCCGCGGUAAUACGGAGGGUGCGAGCGUUAAUCGGAAUUACUGGGCGUAAAGCGCAUGCAGGUGGUUCAUUAAGUCAGAUGUGAAAGCCCGGGGCUCAACCUCGGAACUGCAUUUGAAACUGGUGAACUAGAGUGCUGUAGAGGGGGGUAGAAUUUCAGGUGUAGCGGUGAAAUGCGUAGAGAUCUGAAGGAAUACCAGUGGCGAAGGCGGCCCCCUGGACAGACACUGACACUCAGAUGCGAAAG